GACGAACGCUGGCGGCGUGCCUAAUACAUGCAAGUCGAACGCAGUGGGGGCGGGUGGUUAACACGUGGGUCACCUCCCGUCAGAGGGGAUAACACUUGGAAACAGGUGCUAAACCGAUACUGAUGGAUGGACCCGCGGUGCAUUAGCUAGUUGGUGGGGUAACGGCUCACCAAGGCCACGAUGCAUAGCCGACCUGAGAGGGUGAUCGGCCACACGGGAACUGAGACACGGCCCAGACUCCUACGGGAGGCAGCAGUAGGGAAUCUUCGGAAAUGGACGAAAGUCUGACCGAGCAACGCCGCGUGAGGGAAGAAGGUUUUCGGAUCGUAAAACUCUGUUGUUGGGGAAGCGGUACCUAACCAGAAAGCCACGGCUAACUACGUGCCAGCAGCCGCGGUAAUUC
rnacentral:rRNA from 1 species